rnacentral:rRNA from 1 species
GCUCAACCGAGGAAGUGCUUCGAAAACUGGUAAACUUGAGUGCAGAAGAGGAAAGUGGAACUCCAUGUGUAGCGGUGGAAUGCGUAGAUAUAUGGAAGAACACCAGUGGCGAAGGCGGCUUUCUGGUCUGUAACUGACGCUGAGAUUCGAAAGCAUGGGUAGCAAACAGGAUUAGAUACCCUGGUAGUCCAUGCCGUAAACGAUGAGUGCUAAGUGUUGGAGGGUUUCCGUCCUUCAGUGCUGCAGCUAACGCAUUAAGCACUCCGCCUGGGGAGUACGAUCGCAAGAUUGAAACUCAAAGGAAUUGACGGGGGCCCGCACAAGCGGUGGAGCAUGUGGUUUAAUUCGAAGCAACGCGAAGAACCUUACCAGGUCUUGACAUACCAUGAAAAGCUAAGAGAUUAGUCUUUCCCUUCGGGGACAUGGAUACAGGUGGUGCAUGGUUGUCGUCAGCUCGUGUCGUGAGAUGUUGGGUUAAGUCCCGCAACGAGCGCAACCCUUAUUAUCAGUUGCCAGCAUUCAGUUGGGCACUCUGGUGAGACUGCCGGUGACAAACCGGAGGAAGGUGGGGACGACGUCAAAUCAUCAUGCCCCUUAUGACCUGGGCUACACACGUGCUACAAUGGUCGGUACAACG